GUAGAGAUGGCUCAGAGGUUAAGAGCACUGGCUGCUCUUCCAGAGGUCCUGAGUUCAAUUCCCAGCAACCACA
rfam:Mesocricetus auratus contig024433, whole genome shotgun sequence.